rnacentral:rRNA from 1 species
UACGUAGGUUGCGAGCGUUAUUCGGAUUUACUGGGCGUAAAGAGCACCGAGGUGGCUUCUUAAGUUGGAUGUGAAAUCUCCUGGCUUAACCGGGAGGCGCCAUUCAAUACUGAGAAGCUUGAGGUCAGCAGGGGAAGGUGGAAUUCCCGGUGUAGUGGUGGAAUGCGUAGAGAUCGGGAGGAACACCAGUGGCGAAGGCGAGUCCCUGGACAGAUCCUGACGCUGAGGCACGAAAGCUAGGGGAGCAAACAGGG